UUAAAGGCUGUGGCUUANCCAUAGUACGCUUUGGAAACUGUUUAACUUGAGUGCAAGAGGGGAGAGUGGAAUUCCAUGUGUAGCGGUGAAAUGCGUAGAUAUAUGGAGGAACACCGGUGGCGAAAGCGGCUCUCUGGCUUGUAACUGACGCUGAGGCUCGAAAGCGUGGGGAGCAANCAGGGUUAGAUACCCUGGUAGUNCACGCCGUAAACGAUGAGGGCUAGGUGUUAGACCCUUUCCGGGGUUUAGUGCCGCAGCUAACGCAUUAAGCACUCCGCCUGGGGAGUACGACCGCAAGGUUGAAACUCAAAGGAAUUGACGGGGGCCCGCACAAGCGGUGGAGCAUGUGGUUUAAUUCGAAGCAACGCGAAGAACCUUACCAGGUCUUGACAUCCCUCUGACCGCUCUAGAGAUAGAGUUUUCCUUCGGGACAGAGGUGACAGGUGGUGCAUGGUUGUCGUCAGCUCGUGUCGUGAGAUGUUGGGUUAANNNNNNNNNCGAGCGCAACCCCUAUUGUUAGUUGCCAUCAUUUAGUUGGGCACUCUAGCGAGACUGCCGGUAAUAAACCGGAGGAAGGUGGGGAUGACGUCAAAUCAUCAUGCCCCUUAUGACCUGGGCUACACACGUGCUACAAUGGCUGGUACAACGAGUCGCAAGCCGGUGACGGCAAGCUAAUCUCUUAAAGCCAGUCUCAGUUCGGAUUGUAGGCUGCAACUCGCCUACAUGAAGUCGGAAUCGCUAGUAAUCGCGGAUCAGCACGCCGCGGUGAGUACGUUCCCGGGCCU
rnacentral:rRNA from 1 species